rnacentral:rRNA from 1 species
CACGUAGGGGGCGAGCGUUGUCCGGAUUUAUUGGGCGUAAAGAGCUCGUAGGUGGCUCGGUAAGUCGGGUGUGAAAUUUCGAGGCUCAACCUCGAGACGCCACCUGAUACUGCUGUGGCUAGAGUCCGGUAGGGGAGACUGGAAUUCCUGGUGUAGCGGUGAAAUGCGCAGAUAUCAGGAGGAACACCGGUGGCGAAGGCGGGUCUCUGGGCCGUAACUGACGCUGAGGAGCGAAAGCGUGGGGAGCGAACAGG